rnacentral:rRNA from 1 species
AUUUACGUAGGUGCUGCAUGGUUGUCGUCAGCUCGUGCCGUGAGGUGUCGGGUUAAGGUCCCAUAACGAGCGCAACCCCACCUUUAGUUGCCAUCAGGUUAAGCUGGGGACGUCUAAAGGAACUAGCCUACGCAAGUAGUGAGGAAGCGGGGAUGACGUCAAAUCAGCACGGCCCUUACGUCCAGGGCUACACACGUGCUACAAUGGCCGAUACAGAGGGCAGCUACCUGGUGACAGGAUGCAAAUCUCCAAAGUCGGUCUCAGUUCGGAUCGGAGUCUGCAACCCGACUCCGUGAAGUUGGAUUCGCUAGUAAUCGCGCAUCAGCCAUGGCGCGGUGAAUACGUUCCCGGGCCUU